CGAAGGGGGGUGGCAGUGACGAUCAGAGAGAGGCAGCGGCGUGCAAUUGGAGGUUUUUCUUAAAGCUUAAAGAACACCGUUGAAGUCUCCCUAAAAUGGGUCACCAGCCCCCCCUUAAAAAACCCGCCAAUGCUUCCUGGGCUGCAAGAACAACCACAUCGUUAUCUGCCCUUCAGGUCAAGACGUCGACUCUUCCUUUUAAAAUCAAUGCAAAGUAUUUAAAUGUACACAUCGAUGAUUUAGAUUAGGUGAUUAUUUUUUAAAACCUCCAGUUGCCUCCUCGAGUUUUUGCAUUUUUGUUUUGUUUGUCAAAAUAUGUUUCAUAAAAGGCUUAUUUGUCCCAGUAUCAGUUUCACCGCGAGUCACUAAAUCGUACCAUAGUGGCACCCAGACCGCGUCUCCAGGCCCGUUGGGCUUGUAAGCGCGUUCCCGUAUGCGUGUUGGUUCUUUUCCGGCUCGAUGCUGGCGUGGGAACGGCGCUGAAUAGGGAGGAGGAGGCGGCUGCUGGUGUGCAGCUCUGUCGCAGCGGGUGGAUCGGGUGGAGCGAGUGGAUCGGGUGGGGUCACCCACCUGCUUCCCGAAGUGGAAACCAACCGGUUCUUGGCAAGGCAUCACGAGGGAGGGCCCUGGGGUUGUUGUGCACAAACUGGACCAGCGUGUGUGCUGUAGGUUGUGUUGGAACACGUGUCCUGUCAUCAAACGGCGAGUUCAACUGAGAUGUGUGCGUCGUCGGCGAACACUCGGAUCGCCCGCGUGUCUUCUUCAAGAAUUUGGUCCAGUCUUUCAAAAAGACAACAGCGCGUGUGGAUCUAAACGCCCUGGAAUUAAAGCGGAAAGUUGGAACUUUAAUGUCAUCGACGUUUUUUCAUUUUAAAUCCAAUUUGCUGGUUUACGGAGCGCGACAGUGAAACCUAUUUCACCCACCUGCCCCGUUCUGAGUGCGCCGUGUGUCCCCCUCAGACCCACACGUGUUUGUUCAUUCAGGCCCGUUUUCCAGUUUUAACACCCCCCCCCCCCCC
ensembl:lncRNA